rnacentral:rRNA from 1 species
AACAAACGCUGGCGGCGUGCCUAACACAUGCAAGUCGAACGAGAAAGCCUGGCUUGCCAGGCAAGUAAAGUGGCGCACGGGUGAGUAACGCGUGGGUAAUCUACCUUUGUCUGGGGGAUAACAUACCGAAAGGUGUGCUAAUACCGCAUAACGUGCUCGGGUUGCGACCUGAUCACCAAAGAUGGCCUCUCCAUGGAAGCUAUCAGAUGAAGAUGAGCCCGCGUCCCAUUAGCUAGUUGGUAAGGUAAAAGCUUACCAAGGCUACGAUGGGUAGCUGGUCUGAGAGGAUGGCCAGCCACACUGGAACUGGAACACGGUCCAGACACCUAUGGGUGGC